UACGUAGGUGGCAAGCGUUGUCCGGAUUUACUGGGCGUAAAGGGCGUGCAGGCGGUCUGUUAAGUCUAGGGUGAAAGCUCCCGGCUCAACUGGGAGAGGUCCUUGGAUACUGGCGGACUUGAGGGAGGCAGAGGAGUAUGGAAUUCCCGGUGUAGUGGUGAUAUGCGUAGAUAUCGGGAGGAACACCAGUGGCGAAGGCGGUACUCUGGGCCGGUACUGACGCUGAGGAGCGAAAGCAUGGGGAGCGAACAGG
rnacentral:rRNA from 1 species